AUUAGGAAUCUUGCGCAAUGGACGAAAGUCUGACGCAGCGACGCCGCGUGAGGGAUGACGGCAUUCGUGUUGUAAACCUCUUUUGCCGAGGAAGAAGAAAGUGACGGUACUCGGUGAAUAAGCCCCGGCUAACUACGUGCCAGCAGCCGCGGUAAUACGUAGGGGGCGAGCGUUGUCCGAAGUUACUGGGCGUAAAGCGCGCGUAGGCGGCUUCUUAAGUCUGGGGUGAAAGGUUCAACGCUUAACGUGAACAGUGCCUUGGAUACUGGGGAGCUUGAAUGUGGCAGAGGAUAGUGGAAUGGCUGGUGUAGCGGUGAAAUGCGUAGAUAUCAGUCGGAACACCCAUGGCGAAGGCAGCUAUCUGGGCUAACAUUGACGCUGAGGUGCGAAAGCGUGGGGAGCGAACGG
rnacentral:rRNA from 1 species